AGUGAACGCUGGCGGUAGGCCUAACACAUGCAAGUCGAACGGCAGCACAGGAGAGCUUGCUCUCUGGGUGGCGAGUGGCGGACGGGUGAGGAAUACAUCGGAAUCUACUCUGUCGUGGGGGAUAACGUAGGGAAACUUACGCUAAUACCGCAUACGACCUACGGGUGAAAGCAGGGGAUCUUCGGACCUUGCGCGAUUGAAUGAGCCGAUGUCGGAUUAGCUAGUUGGCGGGGUAAAGGCCCACCAAGGCGACGAUCCGUAGCUGGUCUGAGAGGAUGAUCAGCCACACUGGAACUGAGACACGGUCCAGACUCCUACGGGAGGCAGCAGUGGGGAAUAUUGGACAAUGGGCGCAAGCCUGAUCCAGCCAUACCGCGUGGGUGAAGAAGGCCUUCGGGUUGUAAAGCCCUUUUGUUGGGAAAGAAAUCCAGCUGGUUAAUACCCGGUUGGGAUGACGGUACCCAAAGAAUAAGCACCGGCUAACUUCGUGCCAGCAGCCGCGGUAAUACGAAGGGUGCAAGCGUUACUCGGAAUUACUGGGCGUAAAGCGUGCGUAGGUGGUUAUUUAAGUCCGUUGUGAAAGCCCUGGGCUCAACCUGGGAACUGCAGUGGAUACUGGAUGACUAGAAUGUGGUAGAGGGUAGCGGAAUUCCUGGUGUAGCAGUGAAAUGCGUAGAGAUCAGGAGGAACAUCCAUGGCGAAGGCAGCUACCUGGACCAACAUUGACACUGAGGCACGAAAGCGUGGGGAGCAAACAGG
rnacentral:rRNA from 1 species